GACGAACCGUGCAAACGUUAUUCGGAUUCACUGGGCUUAAAGGGCGCGUAGGCGGGUGGUCAAGUCGGGGGUGAAAUCUUUCAGCUCAACUGGAAAAUAGCUUCCGAUACUGGCCGUCUUGAGGGAGGUAGGGGCAUGUGGAACUUCCGGUGGAGCGGUGAAAUGCGUAGAUAUCGGAAGGAACGCCGGUGGCGAAAGCGACGUGCUGGACCUUUUCUGACGCUGAGGCGCGAAAGCCAGGGGAGCAAACGGG
rnacentral:rRNA from 1 species